GGAGCAACCUGCCAGGAGAUUGGAAAUGACUCCUUCAGACUGGUCAUAAAAAGAAUGACCCAGAUUCCUGAGGAGAUAACCUGUAUGACUCACCAUCCUAGCCUUCAUCCGCUGGGCCUCAAUAUAUAUUCUUUGCAAAAUGCAGUGAAUAUUUACAGAGUAGACCAUGGCCAGUUGAGAAUCAGAGGGAUGGAAAGGCAAUGCAGACACAUGGUCUAUAGGACUUUUGUGAGCUGGUGCUGAGGAUUUUCUUGGUAGAAGUGUCCGUGUCGUGAUCCCCUCUUGUGUUGUGCUGCGUAUACAGAGGGAGUUUCUGGAUGCUUCAGGGCAGUAUGUCGGGUUUGGUGCCUGUCGAGUUGAG